GCGGUGGGGGUUCAGUGGUAGAACUCUCAUCUUCCACACAGGCGACCUGGGUUCCAUUCCCGGCCAGUGCA
rnacentral:tRNA from 1 species